AUUGAACGCUGGCGGCAGGCCUAACACAUGCAAGUCGAGCGGAUGAAGGGAGCUUGCUCCUGGAUUCAGCGGCGGACGGGUGAGUAAUGCCUAGGAAUCUGCCUGGUAGUGGGGGAUAACGUCCGGAAACGGGCGCUAAUACCGCAUACGUCCUGAGGGAGAAAGUGGGGGAUCUUCGGACCUCACGCUAUCAGAUGAGCCUAGGUCGGAUUAGCUAGUUGGUGGGGUAAAGGCCUACCAAGGCGACGAUCCGUAACUGGUCUGAGAGGAUGAUCAGUCACACGGGAACUGAGACACGGUCCAGACUCCUGCGGGAGGCAGCAGUGGGGAAUAUUGGACAGUGGGCGAAAGCCUGAUCCAGCCAUGCCGCGUGUGUGAAGAAGGUCUUCGGAUUGUAAAGCACUUUAAGUUGGGAGGAAGGGCAGUAAGUUAAUACCUUGCUGUUUUGACGUUACCAACAGAAUAAGCACCGGCUAACUUCGUG
rnacentral:rRNA from 1 species